rnacentral:rRNA from 1 species
UUCCAGCUCCAAUAGCGUAUAUUAAAGUUGUUGCAGUUAAAAAGCUCGUAGUAGAACCUUGGGCCUAGUUGGCCGGUCCGCCUCACCGCGUGCACUGGUCCGACCGGGUCUUUCCUUCUGGGAAGCCUCAUGCCCUUCACUGGGUGUGUUGGGGGAACCAGGACUUUUUACUUUGAAAAAAUUAGAGUGUUCAAAGCAGGCCUAUGCUCGAAUACAUUAGCAUGGAAUAAUAGAAUAGGACGUGUGGUUCUAUUUUGUUGGUUUCUAGGACCGCCGUAAUGAUUAAUAGGGAUAGUCGGGGGCAUCAGUAUUCAAUUGUCAGAGGUGAAAUUCUUGGAUUUAUUGAAGACUAACUACUGCGAAAGCAUUUGCCAAGGAUGU